rnacentral:rRNA from 1 species
UCAUUACCGAGUUUACACUCCCAAACCCAAUGUGAACGUUACCAAACUGUUGCCUCGGCGGGAUCUCUGCCCCGGGUGCGUCGCAGCCCCGGACCAAGGCGCCCGCCGGAGGACCAACCUAAAACUCUUAUUGUAUACCCCCUCGCGGGUUUUUUUAUAAUCUGAGCCUUCUCGGCGCCUCUCGUAGGCGUUUCRAAAAUGAAUCAAAACUUUCAACAACGGAUCUCUUGGUUCUGGCAUCGAUGAAGAACGCAGCGAAAUGCGAUAAGUAAUGUGAAUUGCAGAAUUCAGUGAAUCAUCGAAUCUUUGAACGCACAUUGCGCCCGCCAGUAUUCUGGCGGGCAUGCCUGUCCGAGCGUCAUUUCAACCCUCGAACCCCUCCGGGGGGUCGGCGUUGGGGAUCGGCCCUCCCUCUGCGGGUGGCCGUCUCCGAAAUACAGUGGCGGUCUCGCCGCAGCCUCUCCUGCGCAGUAGUUUGCACACUCGCAUCGGGAGCGCGGCGCGUCCACAGCCGUUAAACACCCAACUUUCUGAAAUGUUGACCUCGGAUCAGGUAGGAAUACCCGCUGAACUUAAGCAUAUCAAUAAGCGGAGGA